ACCAGGCAUGGUGGUGCAUGCCUGUAAUCCCAGCAGCUUGGGAGACUGAGGCAGGAGGAUCACAAGUUCAAAGUCAGCCUCAGCAAUUUAUUGGGGCCCUAAGCAACUUAGCGAGACCCUGUCUCAA
rnacentral:sRNA from 1 species